rnacentral:lncRNA from 1 species
UCUUUCACGAAGCCAUGGACUAUCAUGUUAAUUUGACAAGAGUGAAUGAGACUGUAUUUGAAGAUUAGUAGGAGUGGUGGCUUAAAGUGUCUAGGGCUCUGAUACGUACGAGAUGGGAUUUUCUUAUUGUUUUUCAUUCCUAUGUAUCAAUUUUUGAAUAUUGCUGACGUAGCCCUAUGGUUGUUGAAUUUAUGUUGAUAAGGCUUUUAUGCCAAGAUUUAAUUAU